rnacentral:rRNA from 1 species
UGGGGAAUAUUGCACAAUGGGCGAAAGCCUGAUGCAGCAACGCCGCGUGAGGGACGACGGCCUUCGGGUUGUAAACCUCUUUUAGCAAGGAAGAAGCGAAAGUGACGGUACUUGCAGAAAAAGCGCCGGCUAACUACGUGCCAGCAGCCGCGGUAAUACGUAGGGCGCAAGCGUUAUCCGGAAUUAUUGGGCGUAAAGAGCUCGUAGGCGGUUUGUCGCGUCUGCUGUGAAAACCCGAGGCUCAACCUCGGGCCUGCAGUGGGUACGGGCAGACUAGAGUGCGGUAGGGGAGAUUGGAACUCCUGGUGUAGCGGUGGAAUGCGCAGAUAUCAGGAAGAACACCGAUGGCGAAGGCAGAUCUCUGGGCCGUAACUGACGCUGAGGAGCGAAAGGGUGGGGAGCAAACAGGCUUAGAUGACCCUAGGUAGUCCACCCGUAAACGUUGGGAACUAGUUGUGGGUCCAUUCCACGGAUUCCGUGACGCAGCUAACGCAUUAAGUUCCCCGCCUGGGGAGUACGGCCGCAAGG